rnacentral:rRNA from 1 species
AAUGAACGUUGGCGGCGUGGAUUAGGCAUGCAAGUCGAGCGAGAAGUCCUUCGGGACGGACAGCGGCGAAAGGGAGAGGAAUACGUAGAAAUCUACCCCUGAGACCGGGAUAGCGUCGGGAAACUGGCAGUAAUACCGGAUAAUGUCUUAGGACCAAAGGUGUGAUUCCACUAGGGGAUGAGUCUACGCCCUAUUAGCUAGUUGGUGGGGUAAUGGCCUACCAAGGCGAUGAUGGGUAGCGGGGGUGAGAGCAUGACCCGCCUCACUGGGACUGAGACACUGCCCAGACACCUACGGGUGGCUGCAGUCGAGGAUCUUCGUCAAUGGGCGAAAGCCUGAACGAGCGACGCCGCGUGCGCGAUGAAGGCCUUCGGGUUGUAAAGCGCUUUAGUGGGGGAGAAAAGGGUAAAACCUUGAUCUAUCCCAAAAAUAAGCUCGGGCUAAGUUCGUGCCAGCAGCCGCGGUAACAC